rnacentral:rRNA from 1 species
GAUAAACGCUGGCGGCGUGCUUAACACAUGCAAGUCGAACGAAGUGUUUCUUUCGGGGGGCGCUUAGUGGCGGACGGGUGAGUAACGCGUGGGUAACCUGCCCUCUACAGGGGGACAACAGCUGGAAACGGCUGCUAAUACCGCAUAAGCCCUUAGCACUGCAUGGUGCAGAGGGAAAAGGAGCAAUCCGGUACAGGAUGGACCCGCGUCUGAUUAGCCAGUUGGCAGGGUAACGGCCUAGCAAAGCGAGGAUCAGUAGCCGAUCGGAGAGGAUGUACGGCUACAUUGGGAAUGCGACACGGACCAGACUCGUACGGAAGGGAGGAGUGGGGAAUAUUGCACAAUGAAGGAAACUGUGAUGCAGCGGCGCCGCGGGAGUGAAGAAGUAUGUCGGUAUGUAAAGCUCUAUCAGAAGGAGAGAAAAUGACGGUACCGGACGAAGAAGCACCGGCUAACUACGUG